GACGAACGCUGGCGGCGUGCCUAAUACAUGCAAGUAGAACGCUGAAGAGAGGAGCUUCCUCUUCUUGGAUGAGUUGCGAACGGGUGAGUAACGCGUAGGUAACCUGCCUUGUAGCGGGGGAUAACUAUUGGAAACGAUAGCUAAUACCGCAUAACAAUGGAUGACACAUGUCAUUUAUUUGAAAGGGGCAAUUGCUCCACUACAAGAUGGACCUGCGUUGUAUUAGCUAGUAGGUGAGAUAAUGGCUCACCUAGGCGACGAUACAUAGCCGACCUGAGAGGUUGCUCGGCCACCCUUGGACUGAGACACGGCCCAGACUCCUACGGGAGGCAGCAGUAGGGAAUCUUCGGCAAUGGGGGCAACCCUGACCGAGCAACGCCGCGUGAGUGAAGAAGGUUUUCGGAUCGUAAAGCUCUGUUGUAAGUCAAGAACGGGUGUGAGAGUGGAAAGUUCACACUGUGACGGUAGCUUACCAGAAAGGGACGGCUAACUACGUG
rnacentral:rRNA from 1 species